GGCGGCAUGCUUUACACAUGCAAGUCGAACGCAGCGGGGGCUUCGGCCUGCCGGCGAGUGGCGAACGGGUGAGUAAUGCUCGGAACGUGCCCAUGUCGUGGGGGAUAACGUAUCGAAAGGUACGCUAAACCGCAUACGUCCUGAGGGAGAAAGCGGGGGAUUCUUCGGAACCUCGCGGAUUGGAGCGGCCGAUGUCGGAUUAGCUAGUAGGUGAGGUAAAGGCUCACUAGGCGACGAUCCGUAGCGGGUCUGAGAGGAUGAUCCGCCACACUGGGCUGAGACACGGCCCAGACUCCUACGGGAGGCAGCAGUGGGGAAUUUUGGCAAUGGGGGCAACCCUGAUCCAGCCAUGCCGCGUGAGUGAAGAAGGCCUCGGGUUGUAAAGCUCUUUCGGCCGGGAAGAAAUCGUGGUCUCUAACAUAGCCAUGGAUGACGGUACCGGACUAAGAAGCACCGGCUAACUACGUGCCACAGCCGCGGUAAUACGUAGGGUGCGAGCGUUAAUCGGAAUUACUGGGCGAAAGCGUGCGCAGGCGGUUUUGUAAGACAGAUGUGAAAUCCCCGGGCUCACCUGGGAACUGCGUUUGUGACUGCAAGGCUAGAGUACGGCAGAGGGGGUGGAAUUCCUGGUGUAGCAGUGAAAUGCGUAGAUAUCAGGAGGAACACCAUGGCGAAGGCAGCCCCCUGGGCCUGUACUGACGCUCAUGCACGAAAGCUGGGGAGCAAACAGGAUUAGAUACCCUGGUAGUCCACGCCCUAAACGAUUCGACUAGUCGUUCGGAGCAGCAAUGCACUGAGUGACGCAGCUAACGCGGAAGUCGACCGCCUGGGGAGUACGGCCGCAAGGUUAAAACUCAAAGGAAUGACGGGGACCCGCACAAGCGGUGGAUGAUGUGGAUUAAUUCGAUGCAAGCGAAAAACCUUACCUACCCUUGACAUGUCUGGAACCUUGCCGAGAGGCAGGGUGCCUUCGGGAGCCAGAACACAGGUGCUGCAUGGCUGUCGUCAGCCGUGUCGUGAGAUGUUGGGUUAAGUCCCGCAACGAGCGCAACCCUUGUCCUAGUUGCCAUCAUUUGGUUGGGCACUCUAGUGAGACUGCCGGUGACAACCGGAGGAAGGUGGGGAUGACGUCAAGUCCUCAUGGCCCUUAUGGGUAGGCUUCACACGUCAUACAAUGGUCGGUACAGAGGGUUGCCAAGCCGCGAGUGGAGCCAAUCCCAAAAAGCCGAUCGUAGUCCGGAUCGUAGUCUGCAACCGACUACGUGAAGUCGGAAUCGCUAGUAAUCGCAGAUCAGCAUGCUGCGUGAAUACGUUCCCGGGUCUUGUACACACCGCCCGUCACACCAUGGGAGUGGUUUCACCAGAAGUAGGUAGCUUAACCUUCGGGAGGGCGCUUACCACGUGAGAUUCAUGACUGGGGUGAAGUCGUAACAAGGUAGCCGUAUCGGAAGUGCGGCUGGAUCACCUC
rnacentral:rRNA from 1 species